GGAGAAAAACUUGAGUGAACUGAGAAGACAGACAGCCCGUGACCAAAUUCUGAGAACUCCAACCAUUCACUGGUUGAGUGGAAGAGAACAAGCUCAGAAAAUAAAUGGAGAAAACAUGGUAGGAGGAGUAGAAGAAAAAUGAGGAGAAUGCUGUCUCAUGGAAGACAAGUGGAUAUGAACUGACAAAAACCAAUCCUAAAAAAGCACAUAAGGUAUAUGAUUUCAUCUAUAUAACAUGCUAGAAAUGAUAAAAUGAUGAGAAUGAAGAACAGAUUAGUGGUUGCCAGAGGCUAAGGAGAAGCAGAGGGAAGUGGAUGUGACUAUAAAACAGCAACAUGAAGCAUCAUGUCGUGAUAAAAACCUACUUUAUCUUGGCUGUAUUCAUGUCAGUAUCCUGGAUUUGAUAUUCUGCUACAACUUCACAAGAUGUUAUCAUUGGCAAAAACUGAGUAAAGAGUACAGGGAAAUUCUCUUAUUACAACUCCAUGUGAAUAUGGAAUUGGUGCACAUGGUAUGGACCCCAGCAAGUCCCCCUCUGCAGGUCAGGUGGGGAUCCAGGGAAGAUGCUGGAGACCAUGUUACAGCUCCAAUCCAAAGGGACUCUGAAGUUCAUCAUGAGCAUGUCUGAAAGUCAGGAGCUGAGAGGGCACUGACUGAGCCUCUCACAAUCAAAUCACUCCUCUCUAGCUAGCAAAGCUUGGAGAAGCCUGAACAAGCUGGUCACCCUCACUGGCAAAGACUUUCAUUUCCACGGAAGGGAAACUGAUGACCUGGGACCAUUGGAAGAACUAGGAAACAAACAUGAGAGCUUCGGGGAAGACAGACCAGCCAAAAUUCUCUGAAGGAAGAUGUAAGUGAGGGACGUUUCUGAGCUGGAUGACUUCACCACUGAAGUGCAAGUGAGAGGAUGCUGGAGCAUGGUGGAUUGUCAAGUGCCAAGCUGGAAUAGUAAACGCAGUGGUGGGGAGUGGAUCCGGUAAUACUGGAGCAUUUAGAAUCAAGGCCAGCCCUCAGACUGAAUGUGGAGAUAACUAGUUCUCUGCCAGUCUAUUAUUUCUGAAGAAAGAGCUUGACUAAGUUUAUUUUACUCACAUUUUUUUUUGCUUGUCUCAAAUUAAGUAUGGAUGAAGCAGUUCUAAGGACUGCAAAGCUGCGCAGCGGGAACCAACUCCCUACUGCAGUUAUCAUUCGCCUUUAAAGUCUCCGUGUCAAGACACACAGAAAGUGUCUACACCAAAUGGACAAACGUUCCAGGGGGUUUCCUUCCCAACUGCUUAUUAAGAAAUCCAUCCUCUUCACAUCAGUGGGACUUCAUUCUACUCAAAUUCCAUCAAUUUCCAAUAGCUCCAACACGAGGACAAACCCUGGGAGAUGAGGGUGCCAUCUCAAGUCUCUUAUUUUGGUUAUUUAACUGAAUAAGAAAAUGUGUAUAACUGUAGCAAAUGACUCCUAUCUUUCCUGGAAAACAAACGCAGCCAUUUGCUGUGUCUCACUAUGUGUCCUUUAAGUCGCCUGCUCCUGCUGCUGUCUGUGGGAGCCAGAGCUGAGGUGCGCAGGACAGACCGCCUGGUUUGGAAACCUUGGAAGCAUGGUCUGCUUGUAUUACCUGGGGUCAUAGAUUUAGCACUCAUAAAGUCAUGUCUGUCUGUUCCUUCUGUGUCUCCAGCCAAGGAAAGAGGAGACAGGAGUAAUCAGCCUACUCAAGGAAAGAGGCAGGGGUGAUUUGAAUAAUUAUCUAUCUUUUAGACAAAAUACUGCAUUCUAUUAUGUUAUGCAAAUUCAAAUAAUGGGCUUUUUUAUGUGAACUACAUCCGUUUACAUCCUCAUUAUCCCAAGGUUUCAGUAUUCGGCCAGGUAAUGACAGCUGUGAAAACGGACUUGGAAACUUACUGCUAUCUUCAUUAAUUUACUGUAGGUAACUGACCUAGUCAAACAUCCCUGAAUAUGAUAAAAAAUUCACAGACUGUGUUUACUCGUGAAUCCCACUGAAUUCCAGCUUUGCGUUUCUCAUCCCAUAUUAAACAUGACGACAGAUGCACCAACAGAGGUUACUGGGGAACCUCUCCCAGGCAUUGUCUUGCAGAGAUAAAGUUCUGUAAUUAAGCUGCUGUUCACCAAUGUGGAAAUAAUACAGUGUAUUGGAAAACGGUAAUUAACUAAACUAUCAUCUUUGUAACAGCCUGUUACACAUGGGACUCCUUAGAACAGACUUUGCUUGGAGUCCAACAGCUCUUAUUGUAAGUUGGGCAGGAACAAAACUGGGGAUGAGGAACUUCCCCCUGACUGAGCUGGCUGUUGGUGGCACUAUCCUGUUACCACUGAGACCAACCAGGUGCUAAAUGGGACCCAAGGGCUGGGAGAAAUGCUACCAACACAAUCUUCAGUGUUGUUCCCAAGACUUACCCAACCCCAACGGGCCGGGCUAGGGGUCUGAGAGUAUUGGCUGGGUAAGGACAAAGGAGCUCAAGUACAUAAGUGAAAUGGUCUCAGGAGAUGGUGGGCAGUUUUUCAAAGCAUCAGGAGAAAGAGUUCUGAUCAGUUCAAUCGCGGAUGUUUUAGGGAGGGCAAUGAGAGCGAACCGACAAUGACUUCACAUCGUGGGUGGUAGCAGCAGGUGCACCGAGGAAUGACUGAGGCUAGGGGUACGGCAGCUUGCUGAAGCUCAGGCAAUUCCACAGUAAGUGGAAGGUCAGGACGAGAACUCACAUCUACCAGGUUCCCAAACCUGGGCUCUUUCCUUUUCCUUUUUUUUUUUUUUUUGUUUGUUUGUUUGAGACAGGGUCUCCCUCUGUCACCCAGGCUAGAGUGCAGUGGCCCAAUCUCGGCUCACUGCAGCCUUGAACUCCUGGGCUCAAGCAAUCCUCUUGCCUCAGCCUCCUGAGUAGCUCGGACUACAGUCACAUACCAUCUCACCUGGCUAAUUAAAAAAAAAAAUUGUAGAGACUGGGGUCUAGCUUUUUUUGCCCAGGCUGGUCUCCAACUCCUGGCUUCAAGCAAUUCUGCCUUGGCCUCCCAAAGUGCUGGGAUUACAGGCAUGCGCCACUACACCCAGCCCAAAACCUGGGCUCUUUUCCAUGACACCAGUGUGUCAAGAAAUUCAUCCUCCCCAUACCAGUGAGACUUCAUUCUACUCAAAUUUCAUUACCCCAGUAGCUCCUCACCUUGGAAUGUUGGCGUAAAUCAGUGGUUUUCAUCCUUGGCUGGAUAUCAGAAGCACAGGUGGAGAUUUUAGAAAUUAUGGCAGUCCAGAUCUCCCCAAUAUGACCCUUUGGGAAACAGGGCCCAAGCAUCUGUAUUUCUAAAAAGCCCCAGAAUUAAUCACCUCUGACAUGCAGCCAGAAUUAAAAGCCAUUGAUCCAGCUGCAAUGAUUACACAACAAUUUAACAUCAGUAACGUCUUCUUUACGGGAGGUCUUGACUAGUUCAUUCAUUCAAUAAACGUGUUUGAGCUCCUACU